rnacentral:sRNA from 1 species
GCCAGAUGUGGUAGCGCACACCUGUAAUACCAGUAGCUUAGGAGGCUGAGGCAGGUGGAUCGUGAGUUCAAAGCCAGCCUCAGCAAUGGCGAGGCCCUAAGCAACUCAGUGAGACCCUGUCUCUA